UUAGGAAUUUCCAUAGAAGUUAAGAGUCUAAAUACCUUUGAAAAAUCUGUGGCCCUAACUACUUUCAAAAGCCUGUAGCAAGCUACUAUGCUUUGUGAGGUCUGCUUCUUGUUAGCCACUGCUGAUUACUCACCUGUGUCUCUUAAUUAACCCCAGCUGGGCUUGCCUCUGCCUAGUAGCCGGGAGUGGUGCUUUGUUUCCCUGGUACAGAGUUUGCCUGAAACUCCCAGAAGGUCAGGAAGCUGCUGUUUUUUCCUAGGUUAAGCCGCUCUGGGCUAGGUGAGGGAAUGUCAGAAUAGUUCAGUGCAGGGUUUUGCCUUUCAGCUGGGAAUGUCAGCCUGCAAAGAAGCUAACGUGCAGCAAGAGAUGGUCCCCAUUCUGCUUGGGGGCGAAGCGGAGAGCAGAGUGCUGGAGCUACCUGAAAGAGGGAGUGUGAGUGCAAAGGUGGCCUUUUGGAUUCUUAUGUUGUCAAAUUUGGAUUUUCUGAGCAAUGUCUUCUACUGCUGAUCAUUAGUUAUCAGUCUACGUUGGAACUGCGGUACAUACAGAUCCUUGGAUCAAAGAAUGAAUUUGCUUUGUUCCCUGACAUAAAAUAUUAAGACUAAAUUCCAUCAUAGCAUUCUGUGGCUCCAUGGAAGUCGGUAAAAGUUGAAUAAGACUAAAACUACUACAAACACAACUGGGAGGUUUUUUUGUUUUUUUUUUGGAAUAUGCAGAAACUGGCUAAUACAUAAACUGCUAAAAUCUCAAAAUGUGAAGUACCAUGCAGUCUAAGUAUAGUUGAAGAGCUUCAGUUAGUUUGUUCAGUUAGAACAAAAAGCACAGUCCGCUAUACUUCAAAUGAAUGUGAGAACUAUCUGAUAUUCACCUUUGU